rnacentral:rRNA from 1 species
UGGGGAAUAUUGGACAAUGGGCGAAAGCCUGAUCCAGCCAUGCCGCGUGUGUGAAGAAGGUCUUCGGAUUGUAAAGCACUUUAAGUUGGGAGGAAGGGCAUUAACCUAAUACGUUAGUGUUUUGACGUUACCGACAGAAUAAGCACCGGCUAACUCUGUGCCAGCAGCCGCGGUAAUACAGAGGGUGCAAGCGUUAAUCGGAAUUACUGGGCGUAAAGCGCGCGUAGGUGGUUUGUUAAGUUGGAUGUGAAAUCCCCGGGCUCAACCUGGGAACUGCAUUCAAAACUGACUGACUAGAGUAUGGUAGAGGGUGGUGGAAUUUCCUGUGUAGCGGUGAAAUGCGUAGAUAUAGGAAGGAACACCAGUGGCGAAGGCGACCACCUGGACUAAUACCGACACGGAGGUGCGAAAGCGUGGGGAGCAAACA